UACGUAGGCAGCGAGCGUUGUUCGGAUUUACUGGGCGUAAAGGGCGCGUAGGCGGCGCGGUAAGUCACUUGUGAAAUCUCUGAGCUUAACUCAGAACGGCCAAGUGAUACUGCAGUGCUAGAGUGUGGAAGGAGCAAUCGGAAUUCUUGGUGUAGCGGUGAAAUGCGUAGAUAUCAAGAGGAACACCUGAGGUGAAGACGGGUUGCUGGGCCAACACUGACGCUGAUGCGCGAAAGCCAGGGGAGCAAACGGG
rnacentral:rRNA from 1 species